rnacentral:rRNA from 1 species
AGUGAACGCUGGCGGUAGGCCUAACACAUGCAAGUCGAACGGCAGCACAGUAAGAGCUUGCUCUUACGGGUGGCGAGUGGCGGACGGGUGAGGAAUACAUCGGAAUCUACUUUUUCGUGGGGGAUAACGUAGGGAAACUUACGCUAAUACCGCAUACGACCUACGGGUGAAAGCAGGGGAUCUUCGGACCUUGCGCGAUUGAAUGAGCCGAUGUCGGAUUAGCUAGUUGGCGGGGUAAAGGCCCACCAAGGCGACGAUCCGUAGCUGGUCUGAGAGGAUGAUUAGGCAAAACGGAAAUGAGGCACGGGCCAGACUCCUACGGGAGGCAGCAGUGGGGAAUAUUGGACAAUGGGCGCAAGCCUGAUCCAGCCAUACCGCGUGGGUGAAGAAGGCCUUCGGGUUGUAAAGCCCUUUUGUUGGGAAAGAAAAGCAGCAGGUUAAUACCCCGCUGUUCUGACGGUACCCAAAGAAUAAGCACCGGCUAACUUCGUG